GGUUUGUGGCUCAAAGGUAGAGCGCUAGCCUAGCAUGUGUGAGGCACUGGGUUCAAUCCUCAGCACCA
rnacentral:tRNA from 1 species